rnacentral:rRNA from 1 species
UACGUAGGGGGCGAGCGUUGUCCGGAAUCAUUGGGCGUAAAGAGCGUGUAGGCGGCUUGGCAAGUCUGACGUGAAAGCCCGCGGCUCAACCGCGGAUUGUCGUUGGAAACUGCCUCGCUAGAGUCCGGAAGAGGAGAGCGGAAUUCCUGGUGUAGCGGUGGAAUGCGCAGAUAUCAGGAAGAACACCCGUGGCGAAGGCGGCUCUCGUGGGACGGUACUGACGCUGAGACGCGAAAGCGUGGGGAGCGAACAGG